CCUACGGGAGGCAGCAGUGGGGAAUAUUGGGCAAUGGGCGCAAGCCUGACCCAGCAACGCCGCGUGAAGGCAGAAGGCCUUCGGGUUUUAAACUUCUUUUAAGAGGGAAGAGCAGAAGCCGGUACGUCUUUAAUAAGCCACGGCGAACUACGUGCCAGCAGCAGCGGUAAGACGGAGGUGGCAUGCGUUGUCCGGAUUUACUGGGUAUAAAGGGCUUGCAGGCGGGAAGACAGGUCAGAGGUGAAAUCCCGCGGCUCAACCGCGGAACUGCAGUUGAACGUGGUUGUCUUGAGUACCGGAGAGGUCAGAGGAAUGUGUGGUGUAGCGGUGAAAUGCGUAGAUAUAAGGAAGAACGCCAGUGGCGAAGGCGGCUGACUGGACGGCAACUGACGGUGAGGCGCGAAAGCGUGGGUAGCAAACAGGAUUAGAUACCCUAGUAGUC
rnacentral:rRNA from 1 species